rnacentral:rRNA from 1 species
UACGUAGGGUGCGAGCGUUGUCCGGAAUUAUUGGGCGUAAAGGGCUCGUAGGCGGUUUGUCGCGUCGGGAGUGAAAAUCCAGGGCUUAACUCUGGACUGGCUUUCGAUACGGGCAGACUAGAGGUAUGCAGGGGAGAACGGAAUUCCUGGUGUAGCGGUGAAAUGCGCAGAUAUCAGGAGGAACACCGGUGGCGAAGGCGGUUCUCUGGGCAUUACCUGACGCUGAGGUGCGAAAGCGUGGGGAGCAAACAGG